AAUAUUUUGAACUUCCAUGGCUGCCAAAAUGGAACACCACCCUAAAUCAUCAAAACCUCAACAUUUCUUCAUAAAUCAACUCACUACAACACCCACACAAACUUUAACAAAGAAAGGAUGAAGAAAUGGUUACUUACCUCUUGUGGACUUCCUCAAAUCUCCACUAAAUCUCUUCUUUCUUGUUCCCUAAAGGCUACCUAAGGUGUGUAGACCACUUUUAAUGAAGACACUUAUAGGAAUCAUGACUUGAAUCAUGGUAGAUGAGGACUUUGCAUGAAACGGCCAUAGGAGAGUUUGGGAGAAACCAUUUUCGGCCAUGAGAGAGCUUAGUGAGGAUGAUGAAGUGAGUGGGGAAAUCUAUCCUUAUUUUAAGUAUUUAUGUGUCUACUUAGUGCUCCACUAAAUAUAGUUUAAUUAUAUUAUAAUCUAAGGCUUCAAUAAUUACAAUUUUGACCUUAAUUUUUCUUAAAUUACAUUUUAUCUUUAAUUCUAUUUUUCAUUAGAUUUUCUAAAUGUAAUACCAUUUAUUUUUCA
rnacentral:misc_RNA from 1 species